rnacentral:pre_miRNA from 1 species
CGUAAUUACAGUUUUGCACUAUUUACGUUUAACGUUUGACCGUUCGUUUUAUUUGAAAAUUUUUUAUGAUCAGUAUUUUUAUUGCUAUUAGAUGAUAAAACAUGAAUAAUACUUUAUGUGUGACUAAAUAUUUUUAAAUUUUUCACAAAUUUUUCAAAUAAGACGGACGGUCAAACGUUGAACACGGAUAUCUAUGGCUGCACUUAUU